rnacentral:tRNA from 1 species
GGGGUUGUGGUUCAGCGGUAGAGUGCUCACCUCACACGUGUUCAAUCCUGGGUUCGAUUCCCACCACCACCU